rnacentral:rRNA from 1 species
AACGCCGCGUGAGUGAAGAAGGCCUUCGGUUGUAAAGCUCUGUCCCUGGGGAAGAACCACCAAUGUAGGUAAUGACAUUGGUCUGACGGUACCCGGGGAGGAAGCACUGGCUAACUACGUGCCAGCCACGUCGGUGACUGAGCGGGCUGGCAAGGCGCAUA